UGCUCUGUAGUCUAAUGGCAGGACGCCCGACUCUGGAUCGGGUAGCGUUGGUUCGACCCCAGCUGGAGCAG
rnacentral:tRNA from 1 species